rnacentral:rRNA from 1 species
GAACGGGUGAGUAACACGUGGGUGAUCUGCCUCGCACUUCGGGAUAAGCCUGGGAAACUGGGUCUAAUACCGGAUAUGACCUGCUGUCGCAUGGCGGUGGGUGGAAAGAUUUAUCGGUGCGAGAUGGGCCCGCGGCCUAUCAGCUUGUUGGUGGGGUAAUGGCCUACCAAGGCGACGACGGGUAGCCGGCCUGAGAGGGCGACCGGCCACACUGGGACUGAGACACGGCCCAGACUCCUACGGGAGGCAGCAGUGGGGAAUAUUGCACAAUGGGCGAAAGCCUGAUGCAGCGACGCCGCGUGAGGGAUGACGGCCUUCGGGUUGUAAACCUCUUUCGACAGGGACGAAGCGUAAGUGACGGUACCUGUAGAAGAAGCACCGGCCAACUACGUGCCAGCAGCCGCGGUAAUACGUAGGGUGCGAGCGUUGUCCGGAAUUACUGGGCGUAAAGAGCUUGUAGGCGGUUUGUCGCGUCGUCCGUGAAAACUUGGGGCUCAACCCCAAGCUUGCGGGCGAUACGGGCAGACUUGAGUACUGCAGGGGAGACUGGAAUUCCUGGUGUAGCGGUGAAAUGCGCAGAUAUCAGGAGGAACACCGGUGGCGAAGGCGGGUCUCUGGGCAGUAACUGACGCUGAGAAGCGAAAGCGUGGGUAGCGAACAGGAUUAGAUACCCUGGUAGUCCACGCCGUAAACGGUGGGUACUAGGUGUGGGUUUCCUUCCACGGGAUCCGUGCCGUAGCUAACGCAUUAAGUACCCCGCCUGGGGAGUACGGCCGCAAGGCUAAAACUCAAAGGAAUUGACGGGGGCCCGCACAAGCGGCGGAGCAUGUGGAUUAAUUCGAUGCAACGCGAAGAACCUUACCUGGGUUUGACAUACACCGGAAACCUGCAGAGAUGUAGGCCCCCUUGUGGUCGGUGUACAGGUGGUGCAUGGCUGUCGUCAGCUCGUGUCGUGAGAUGUUGGGUUAAGUCCCGCAACGAGCGCAACCCUUAUCUUAUGUUGCCAGCGCGUAAUGGCGGGGACUCGUGAGAGACUGCCGGGGUCAACUCGGAGGAAGGUGGGGACGACGUCAAGUCAUCAUGCCCCUUAUGUCCAGGGCUUCACACAUGCUACAAUGGCCGGUACAGAGGGCUGCGAUACCGUGAGGUGGAGCGAAUCCCUUAAAGCCGGUCUCAGUUCGGAUCGGGGUCUGCAACUCGACCCCGUGAAGUUGGAGUCGCUAGUAAUCGCAGAUCAGCAACGCUGCGGUGAAUACGUUCCCGGGCCUUGUACACACCGCCCGUCACGUCAUGAAAGUCGGUAACACCCGAAGCCGGUGGCCUAACCCCUUGUGGGAGGGAGCCGUCGAAGGUGGGAUCGUGCGAAUUGGGACGAAGUCGU